UAUAUUGCACAUUUGAGGAAACUCUGAUGCAGCGACGCCGCGUGAGUGAAGAAGGUCUUCGGAUCGUCUAACUCUGUCCUUGGUGAAGAUCAUGACGGCAGCCAAGGAGGAAGCCCCGGCUAACUACGUGCCAGCAGCCGCGGUAAUUCGUAGGGGGCUAGCGUUAUCCGGAUUUACUGGGCGUAAAGGGUGAGUAGGCGGUUGCAUAAGUAAGGUGUAAAAGGCUAAGGCUUAACCAUAGUAUGCAUUUGAAACUGUGUGACUUGAGUACCGGAGGGGUAAACGGAAUUCCUAGUGUAACGGUGAAAUGCGUAGAUAUUUGGAGGAACACCAGUGGCGAAGGCGGCUUACUGGACUGUAACUGACGCUGAGUCACGAAAGCGUGGGUAGCAAAC
rnacentral:rRNA from 1 species